rnacentral:rRNA from 1 species
AUAUAGUUAAUAUAAAAUAAUUUUAUAAAACUUUUAGGUUUUUUUACUCUGCUCAGAUUGAACGCUGGCGGCAGGCCUAACACAUGCAAGUCGAGCGGCAGCACGGGUACUUGUACCUGGUGGCGAGCGGCGGACGGGUGAGUAAUGCCUAGGAAUCUGCCUGGUAGUGGGGGAUAACGCUCGGAAACGGACGCUAAUACCGCAUACGUCCUACGGGAGAAAGCAGGGGACCUUCGGGCCUUGCGCUAUCAGAUGAGCCUAGGUCGGAUUAGCUAGUUGGUGAGGUAAUGGCUCACCAAGGCGACGAUCCGUAACUGGUCUGAGAGGAUGAUCAGUCACACUGGAACUGAGACACGGUCCAGACUCCUACGGGAGGCAGCAGUGGGGAAUAUUGGACAAUGGGCGAAAGCCUGAUCCAGCCAUGCCGCGUGUGUGAAGAAGGUCUUCGGAUUGUAAAGCACUUUAAGUUGGGAGGAAGGGCAUUAACCUAAUACGUUGGUGUCUUGACGUUACCGACAGAAUAAGCACCGGCUAACUCUGUGCCAGCAGCCGCGGUAAUACAGAGGGUGCAAGCGUUAAUCGGAAUUACUGGGCGUAAAGCGCGCGUAGGUGGUUUGUUAAGUUGGAUGUGAAAUCCCCGGGCUCAACCUGGGAACUGCAUUCAAAACUGACAAGCUAGAGUAUGGUAGAGGGUGGUGGAAUUUCCUGUGUAGCGGUGAAAUGCGUAGAUAUAGGAAGGAACACCAGUGGCGAAGGCGACCACCUGGACUGAUACUGACACUGAGGUGCGAAAGCGUGGGGAGCAAACAGGAUUAGAUACCCUGGUAGUCCACGCCGUAAACGAUGUCAACUAGCCGUUGGGAGCCUUGAGCUCUUAGUGGCGCAGCUAACGCAUUAAGUGACCGUUCUGGGAGACGCCGAACCGG